UAGUAGAACCAGAGACCUAGAUUCCCAGGAUCUGUUAGAGCAGUUGCCAGCUUUGCAGCAGUUACUGUAUCGGCUUGUUGGAUGUCGGCCAGAAGGAGCUGUGAAUAAUAACUACUUGGUGCAGUAUGCUCUAGCUUUGGUGUUAAAAGAGAGUUUCAAAAUUUAUUGUGCGAUCAAUGAUGGAAUUAUUAACCUUGUUGAUAAGG